rnacentral:tRNA from 2 species
GGGCGUAUAGUGUAGCUUGGAUAUCACUUUGGCCUUCUAAGCCGAAAACUCGGGUUCGAAUCCUGAUACGCCCG